AAAGAAAAAAAAAAAAGACAGAAGAGGAGGAAGCAGCCGUGCCAAAAAAAAAAAAAAGGAAGCAGCCAUGCCAAGGCUAGGUACUGACUGAAGCAGGAGGAACAAAUUGGAAAUGUGGGAAUGCAGAUGUGGGCAAGUUGAGGGUCUUGUAGCUUCUCUUCGGUUGAUCUUUUCACUGAAGCUGCUUUGUUAUAUCUGACAUGUGAAACUGCACAAUUUCAAACCUAUAUUGAAGUCAACAUACAAAAAAGCAUUUUAGAAACAACCAUUAGUAAAAAUACUUUUUUCAGCUAUUCUUCCCUUGUAUGGGUGUUGAUAAUCAGAUAAUCAACUAGCUUAUUGCAUAUAGAAAAUUGUUUUCUUUGAGUUAAUUCAACGUGUUGCAACUUAGUUAGAAUCCAGGAAAAUAGUAUUUUCCAAUAUGUAUUUGGAAUCUUCAAAGUAUUAGGUUACAAAUUACCUUAAAAUAAGAAAUAUUUAUGCAGCAUAGAAGAACCAGCAGUUCUCCGAGGAGGAUAAAUAGCAGUCAAAAUAUCAUAAUGCACUUUAUAUCAGUUGUAAAAAGAAAAAUACAGGCUUGGAUUUAUGGUAUUACCAUUAGAAAAACAAUGAGUAUUUAAGAAACAUAGCAACCUUAGCCAUUAAAUAGGCAUCAAAUAACAUUCUGAAUUAAGUUAUAAGAUUAAAUGAAGAUUUGGAUGACAAUGACAAUAUUGUCCAUCAUUGUCAUCCAAAUCCUGGUUUUAUCUUAUAACUGUUUUUAGGGGUAAUUCUAGUGAAUUGUCGCUAUAAGAUGUUUGAAAUUAGUUCCAUACACUUUUCCUGAAUCAAUUUAAAUAUUGUUUUCACAAACAAUAAGAUGGUAUACUGUAGCAUGUCUGCACUAAAAAGAAAAAAAAUACUCCACAGGUGGGGAGUAAUUUCAGUAGAGGAAAGUGAUGAAUAUUGGAUGUGAGUUCAGAAACCAGAGGUUGAUAAAGUCUUGUGAUUGCUAUAUGCAUUAUGAAGCUACUGUGUUUUGAAAAUUGCAAAACAGUCAUUUUUAAAGAACAAAAAUUUGGUGAGUAGCAUACGCAGAUUUCAAACAUAAAUUGCAUAACUUCAUAUUUCAGUAAUUAAAGAUUUAACAAUUGGGAUUUUGUGACUAAACAAAAUAUACUGAACCCAUUACGUAUAAGCCAUGGAUUCAAAGCUCCAGAAAGUUAUCUUAAUGAGGCAUGUAAACUCUUUUUGUUUAAUGUCCACACCAGAUCAUUAUGGUCUGCCAUUUCAUGAAAUAGCAAGACUUUUAAAAUAAGUGAUGUUUUUUAGUUUGUAUUUCUAUAUUCUUUCCUACCAGGUAUAGCACAGUGUAGUACAAGGGCCUACAGUUAUAAGCCUCGGGAAAGAUGCUGUUUUGGCCACAUAUUUCAUCUGUGUGACCCUGGAAAGAGGGUCUCAGAGGGUCACUGUGGCCCUCAGUGUCUUUUCAUUGGUAAGUGGGUCAUCAUCUCUUGUAUAAUGAGAGCUGAAAAAAGUACCAUUUUCCUUUUAUUCUCCCUUCCUUUCAUUUAGGCUGUAGUUUUCACUUUUUAACUACAAAGCAGUUUAUCUCUUGAUAACACUUCUAGUGUAUUGUCCCUAAAAUAUUUUUGAAAGUAGUUCUAUACACUUUUCCUGAGUAAUAAAAACAUCACAUAUUUGCUAACUUGAAAGAAUCCCGAGUCAGGAAAUGGCCUGGAUUCUCUCUGACCUUCAACUAAAGUCUUUGACCAAAGGAGCACAGGUGACCCCUCUCUGCUUCAUUUUCUGACUUAUAGAGUAUUGGACUCAAUGACCGAUCCUCCUCCCUUCUAGCUCCAAAAUACUGGGCUAAACUCCAUGCAACUCCCUUCUGAAUAAAAAUAGUAGACAGGCAUGCACUAUCAACAUUUGUAGAAAAAUAUGAAAUGCUUACAGUCACUUUGUAAUUGACUCUAAGGUUUGAAUGCAUAGAGUUUAAAUGCAAUAAUUGUGUUGAUAACAACAAAGACAUGUAAGUUUUUAUGUACCUUUAUGUUCUGUGCAUUAGUCCUUCAUUUCUGGGCAUGAGGAGAAGUGAUGGUUUCUCAGUGACUUUCCAGAACUCUAAGGCUGUGUUUCUCACACCAGGCCUCAGGGUUUCUACAUUUUGAACAAAUUUCCAAUAUUGUACCCGUGCACACCUAAGUCUAAGAACUCUGCUGUAAGGUGACAUUAAACAACACCUGAAGUUAUAUUUGAGAUGAUUACUAAGUAAUCAUUGUACGGUUGAUUUUCAUAAUAUGGAUUCAAACACUGAAUAGAGCACAGUUUUAAUUAAAUCUGUAUUUCUCAGUUGAAACUUUAUUUUAGCAUUACAUGACUUCUAUUUCAUGAAUCAUAAAUGUCAUGUGUCUUCACAAACUGUAGUUCUGAAUUUAAUUCAUUCACCAUUUUGUCGUCAGAAAGAAGAGUUGAUGUUUUUGAAAGAUCUAAACAGCUUUGCAGCUGAUGUUCUAAAGAAAUAAAAUAUACUGCUGAACGCAGAACAAGCCUUUGCACUAAAUUAAUGUGAGUUUGAAUUUCUGAGUUUCAGUAAUAAUAAUUUCUGUCUUUGGCAAUCAUUUUUGGACUGAUGCGCAUUAUGUUUUAUUCUUUUUGGACUUUAUUCCAUGGAUUUCCAAAGGACAUCAAUUCGCUUUAUUUCUGGAAGAUGUAACACAAAUUAAGUAAUGUGCCUUUGAUUCUAAUGUACCUGUUACACCUUAACUAAAGCAUGAGCAACAUCAUUUUUAAAAGCAUUUCUUUGACAUGAGAAUAUAUGACAGAAACCAUCGUAAAUAGGACUUUUUGAAAACUACUUUGCUGAAAGGGGUGUUUUGUAAAGGAUAUUAUGUUCUGAAGACCUAAAGGUGGGUUCUGUUUAUGUAAUAAAAGUGUAUGAACCUAUAUAAUUUCAUGGCUUAUUGGCUUAUAGGGCCUUUUAUUCAUGAUCAGUUAUAAAAUGUAUUUUGUGCUGGAUUUUAAAUUUCUGGAAAAUUUCAAAAUACUGAUGAAAGGGCCCCUGGUAAUGACUCAGCAGGCUUUCCAUUCCAGAUUUAUCUCUUUGAGAAAAAAGAACAGUGUUUCUCAUUAUCACCAUGAAAAUAAAUAGACGCUGUUUCAAACCGUGUUAAUCAUUUAGUUGGUUAAUUAGCAAUAAUCAUUUUGCAGAAUAAAUUCAGACCUUCCAGUAAUGUGUUGAUAACUGUCAAAAAUCCUUUUUUCUAAAUCUAGCUGGCAAAGGCUUUCAUUUUGGAAUUCAGGAAGCAGGGGAGAUUUUAUUUACCACCCAGUUCCUGUUGCUAGUCCUUUUGAAUUUUGCCUUUCAGAGUUGUUUUUUGUUUGUUUGUUUGUUUGUUUUUAUUCUUUUUGUUAUUCCCCAGUGGCAAGUUAUUUAUUGCUUCUUUUGGCCACUUAUCAAAUAGCAGUUGGUAAUCGGGAGAUUUUACGUGGUAUUUAGAAUAGUUUUUUGCUUUUUUUCUAGUGUUUCUAGUUGAACUAUGAUGGAUUAAGGGUAACUGGGUAAUUUUUCUCUUGACAUCAAUGCCCUUUAAGCUCUUUUGGGCUGUGAUCCUGCUCUUGUUAUUAGCUUUCAUUCUGUUCAUUAAUCAGUGUUUUCAUUCUGGCAGUUUUUCCUUUUCUUUCUCCUUCUUGUUUCUGAGAUUAAAAAGUGAAAGCAGUCUUUUACAAGGAUCUAUUGUUUGUUAUCUUUUAGGCAAACCCAAAUAUUUAUUUCUCUCUUUUGCCUUCAUACCCAAAUUUAUUGCAAAUGCAUGAUAAACUUUCGGAUUCUCAAAAAUCUUCUCAGGGUUUCUGCUUUCCAGGUUUUAGAAAUUAGAUUAUCUGAUUUCAAGGCCUUAGAUUUUCAAAUUGCCCUUUUGUAUGCAUCUAUUCUAUUCGCUUUUCUUUUCAGUUCUAAGUCUAUGUUUAUGUGUAAAAUGCUUCUCUUGUUUCUGACAUUUUCCAAUUUAGUAUCAAUUUCUAAUAAUGAACCACUUUUACCUGCUUGUCUUCCAUGUGGAUGCUUAAUAAAUACUAUAACUUAGGUAUACAGUUUCAUGGAGGAGAAAAGAAUGUGGUUAAUUUUUUGAAAUAGCAAUAAGAAGAAAACAUAUUGUAGCUUUAGCAAGCAUUAUUUUCUUGUGACAGUUUUAUCCUCCUAAUUAUACUUUGCCUAAGCUGGUACUAACGUUAAUUCACGUUCUCCUAAGCAUAUGCCCACUCUUGACAGAUAUACACUGGGGUUGCAAAUUUGGCAUGUAUAAUUUACACAUAAAUAUUCGAUUGCUAAGAAAACUGAGACUAAAUCAGAUGCUGGUCAUUGUCAUCUUUUAAAUUACACUCUGACCUUUCAUCAGUCUACUUAGCGGUGUAAUAACACAAUUGUCUUAAUAUAAAUAAUUCAUUUCUAGUGCUGCAACCCAUUUUUAAAUAUUCAAUUUUAAUAUUUAUUAUAGUUCUGAUAUUUAUUAUCUGAAAUGUUUGGUUAGAUAUUCUUUUUCUGAAUAGUACUUAGUUUCAUGUAAUUUGAUUUUAUUUUUACUAGCUGGAUAAACACACAGUUUCUACUUUAUCUUAAUGCAUCCAACAAAAUCAGUCUUGUAUUAAGUAAUUAAGGUCCAAAAAUCAGUUGGUUCCACUGACUUUGGGCAAUGCAAUGUCCACUCCAAAUCUGUAAUUUGUUUCCCUCUGAUAUUUUGAUAGUGUUCCACAGAGGAUGCCUAAUUGGUGUGAUUAGCCUUCUUCACUGGUGUUUUAUGGACAGUAUAACUGGCUUCUCCCUUGAAAGCAAAUAGUUUUCUUUAUGUUGGGAGUAUUUUUUAAAAAUAGCUUAUCAGCAAAGGUUUUUCUUCUGAGUGUGUUUUUUUAAGCUAAAUCUUUUAGAAAGGCAGCAACCGUUAAUCCUUCAGGGACAUAUAUAAACACACAGGUGGAUUUGCCCAUGCGAGUAUUUGUUUUUAGCUAAUGGAUAGUUUUCUCAAAACAAUCUGUUCUUUUGCCUGUGUGCACCAAAGUGGGUGAAAUAUUUGGGACUACACCAUAAAAAGUAAUCUUGAAUGAUGGCAGUAGGCUAUAAAAGUUCAUCAUGCAGAGAGUAGCAGAAUAUAAUGGAGAAAGCUAUAAACUUAGAAUCAGGAGGCCUGCCACUUAUUAGUUGUGGAACGUGGAUGUGCUCUGGGCCAUUAUUACCUAAUUUAUGUAGCAGAAGGUGGGCUAGAUUGUCUCAAAGUCUCCUUUCAGCUCUAGAGUCACGUGAUUUUUUAGGUGCCUCUUUGGUUAUUUGAGGCUAGCAUUAAAUGCUGACAUUCAUUUGUAAUAUUAUCCUUCUGGUGAGCUCAGGUACCCUGCUGUAAAUGAUAAUGUUUAUCUGAAAUUGCUUACCUUCAAACAGCAGUCUUUAGUAUUUCUUAUUCAGCAUACAUUUGUUGACCAGAUUUUAUGUGCCCAGUACUGGUAAAAAGCCUUAGAGUAACAAAGGUAAAUAAGAUGAAUUUCCCACCCACGAGUAAUUACAUUGCUAUACAGUAAGUACCACAAUGGAAGACCAUAUGAAGUACCAUGGUAGUUCAGAGGAGAGAUUAAUUAAUUUGGCUUUGGGAUGACCAGGUCAGCUUAGAAGGAAAUGGCAUUUAGAUGGAUCUGGAAAGAUUUGUUUGCCAGAUGGAAAACAGGGCUGAGGAUGGCAACUGAAGGGCCUGACAGGUGGGCGCUAGAGCACGGGCAGAAUGAGAUUUCCAAGGCUAAAUAGUAGACCAUGAAUGGGGCUGGGAUAGAGCAUUUUGACUUAAGGAGAGUGGGGAAGAAUGGCCUGGAAGUGAAAUGAGGAAUUAGGGCAUUUGUAGGUUGCCAACACUUCCUCUUGGCCAUCUCCACAUGUUGAAGAGUAAUUCUGGUUUUUUGUUUGUUUGUUUGUUUUUAAUCUGGUGUAUAUUGGGAUAUGCUUGCAUUUCUACAAAAUUUUCACAAGAAUAAUUGGAACAAUAAUCUGUUUAUUGAACAUUUACUAUGCAUUAAGUCUUACUCUCAAUGUCCAAGUCCAGGAUCUAGUUAAGACAUUUUACCAUCUUUUUUUUUUUCCUGAAAAGUUGUUUCAGCACAACAUUCAUAGAACAAACUUAAAAAAAAUUUUUUUUGUUUUGUUUGGCUAUAAGACAAUAAAUCAUUCAUUAAGGAUUAACAUUUUUUGACAGCAACUCACAGAUACAUUUUAAUGAUAGGCAAUGUAUUCACAUAUAAAAUAAUCAUAUUUAGCCUCAGAACCUCAAAUCAAAUCAUUUCAGUCUAUUGAAAGGAUGAAAUGGGAUGUCGAUGGCUUGGAAGCAGUCUUUUGUAAACUUUAAAGUUCUAGAUUAUUGUCAGUAAGUAUAAAUAUCAGGAAGAAGACAUUAUGUAUUCAAUUUUGUGUCUGAGUCUCAGCCUAAUCCCCCAAUGGUUAUGGAGUAGGGUAAGAACUGUAUGUCAAUUUGGAAUCAGACUCUCUGUUUUGAGCCAUUUAAUUUAGACACAUUAUUUUAAUGUAAGCGCUUUUGCUUUUUCUUUGGCAGUCAGUGUGCAAUUUUAAUUAGCACUUGGAACCCGGAAGAAUACAAUGAUGAGCACAAGGCAUGAAGAAAUACGUUCAUAAUGGCCUGCCUGAGGUCUCUGGCAGCACCCAAGAAAGACGCUUUCGGUAUAAUGCUCAAUGCUUCUGAGAAAUCAUCCUUGCUGAUGAUUUAUACUCUUGUACAUUUAAUUAUUUUAGAGUUUCAAAAUAUUGGCAUUAGCAGCUUUGUCAUCUAUACUACACUCAAGGAAUAUUAAUUUCCUAAACUUAUUCUGAUGUAGUAACUGAGGUGUAAGAAAACAACUUAUUUUCUACAUCUGCCUAGGACUCUCUUCCCAACUUUGCCAGUCAAGCUCUUCCACAUCCUUUAAGCCCCAGCUCUAAUAUUCUCCCUCACAGUCUUUUUAACUUCCCUUGGUCAUUUUUUUCAAUAUACACCCAUGGUUCAUGCAUCUUAGCGUCUUAGUGUGCAUGCCACACUGCGUUGUAAUAUUUUUUAAUGCAUUACUCCCCCUGUCAGCUCUCGAUCCCAUAUUUGUAGGAACUGUGUCCGUAUGUGUAUUUUGGUUGCAUCUAGUUGAAAGACAGAGCAUGGUAGAAUAGAAAUAACAUGCACCUUAUAAACUGAUAUAGGUUGAAUCCAAACUGCUCCUUACUUGCUGUGGGGACUGGGGCAAGUUACUUCUUUGAGCUUUUUUAAAACAACAAUAGUAAUACCUGCUAUGCAGGAUUGUUGUGAAGAUUAAAGAAGCUCCAUUCAUUGGUUCAACAAAUAUAUGGAGAAGUCCUAUUACAUGUCAGUAAUUACAAGUGUAACUGUACUUGGUGUUAAGAAUAUAAAGGUAAGUCAUGACUUUGUCCUAAGAACUUUACAAUGUGGUAGUAGAGAAAGACUAGGAGAUAGUUGCAACAUAAUUCUCAAAGGAUGAGUAAGAAUUCACUAGCAUGGGAGUUAUAGGGUUUAGGUUGAAAGCAGCAGGAUUUGAAGUAGAAGCAGAACUGUGUGCAAUGCCUUUAAACCAGGGAGGGGAUGGAAAGUCUAGGGCACAGAGGGAGGUGUAAUGUAGCUGUGAUGGUGGGGUUAGGCUGCAGAUAUAAAUAUUACAAAGGGCCUUGCAAGCUAGGCACAGGGCAGAGGGAACCUGUGAAGAGUAGAUGAUUAGAUUUGCAUUUUAGGAAGAUCUCUUUCCUUGCUGACAUGUGUAAUGGUUUGGGGGAGUCAAGAGAAUCAGUAUGACCAGUGAAGAGGCUGUAGCACAAAAGUGUUAAUGGCCUCAACAGCAGGAGUUACAGUGGAAAUGGGGUGGAGAGAAUAUGUUGAGAGAUAAUUAGGAGCCAGAAAAGGCAGGAUGUGAUACUGUGUACAGGUGGGGGAAAAGUGCGUAAGGAAGACAGAGGAAAUUUCGGGGGAAAUGUACAGAAUUUUGACUUGGGGAUGAUGGUGCUAUUCUCAGAGAUAGGAAAUGCAAGAGAAGCAGUUUAGGGUAUAGGUAGGGAAUGGAAAGUGACUCCAGUGUGGAAAUUGUGGAAUUUGAAGUGCCUAUAGGGAGUGCAGGACAUUUUGACAUCAUCAUUUUGAGCUCUUGUAUGUUUUGACCCUGCUGUUUUUUUUUUUUUUGUUCUUGAAUAUAAAUGUUGCCAUCAAGAUGAUAUCAACACUGAUGAAUUUUGUGGUAAAGAUUUAUUCCAGGGUUAACUUCAUUAAGCUAGUUUAAUUUCUUGACCUAUUUCCUAUAUGGCAAAUUUAAUCUUUUCCCAUUUGUUCCCUCCUGUAUUUUUAUUUUACUAGCACUGUUUCCAUCAGGACAAAAUCUUUCUUGUGUACAUUUUACAAUGAAUACUUGAUUUAUCAACUUCUUUAUCAUCAUCUUUGUCAAAUUUUUACAGAUAUAACUUUUUCAUGGUAAAUGUCAUUUUAGCUCUACUAUUUUUACCAUGUCAAAUUUUGUACAUCCACUUUUUUUGAUUUUUCAUUAAUUUGUGAGCAAUAAUAAUUCUUUACCAUUUUCUGUUUUUGAUAUUUUCAGUUGUAUUUUACCUUUUUUUGUAACCAGCAAGUUUCAUGAGACAAUUUUUUCAACUGUAAAAAUUACUGAUGAUCUGUGAUUCUCAAGUCAGGUUUUCAUCUAUAGCAAAUUUUGCUGUGUAUCAUUUUGGCCCUUGUCUGUUUCAUUUUGGUCCUUAAAACCAAAACUGCCUCAGAAUCUAAAUGACAUUCUUCUGCCUAUGGAAGAGCCAAGGAGAAAAGUCCAGAACAUAGGUACAUGUAUAUAGGUAUGGUGAUUUGGAGAGAAGUCUAGGAUGAAACGUAAUUUGUAAGCAUUUGCAUCUGGGUAUGAGGGCAAGAGAGUGGAUGACAUCUUACCAAAGAGUAUGUAGCAUAAGAGAAGGGCACCCAAGAAAACUAGGAGAAGGAAUCCAGGAAGGAGUGGUAGAAGGUAGGGAGAAACCCACAAGAUGGCGUUCUUGUGGAAGACAAGUCAAGAAAGAGGAAGUGGUCAACAAUGUUGGAUGCUGCCAAGAGGAUGCAUACUGAAAUGUGUGGAUUUUGCAACAGUAACAUCACCCUGUCAUCGCUGAAGGCAGCCUCAUGAAUGGAGAAAGAUCUGCAGCUGGGUAUACAGAAGAGGAGCAAGAAGGAAGCGAAGAUGUGGAGACAAUUACAAGGACAACACUGGGCUGCAAGAAGAAAAAUUUGCUUAUUGAUUCACUGGUUUGUUUCCUUUUAAUACGAGAGAGACUUAAGCAUGGUUAGGUGCUGAUGGGUUGGAGAGGAGAGGAUGAAUGUACAGGAGAGUUGGAACAGGAUCCCCAAGAAGAGCAUUAAGAUCCCAGUCCUUUCCUGGGGUAGAAUUUAGCAUUGCUGCCUAAAUCUUCAUAUCCUCUGCAGCCGCGUGCCCAAGACAGAACCAUCCUCAAUCUGGCCCAUCCAUUUGGGCUUUUACUUUGGGUUCCCAAUUAAACCCCUAAUUCCUUCCUGGGCCCAGAACUUUCUCCAGAGCUGCUAUCACUUGCUUAUCACCUCUCAGUCAAGGGGAUCUUACUGCCCUUAACCCCACAAUACUAUCGCUUGCCGUGACCCUUGAAUAUUACUGCUUUUGAGAAAGUCUUGCUACCACGUGUUGGCCACAACAUCAGAUAAGCUUUGAUACUCUUGCUUUCCAGCUGUGAGCUGGGUCUUACCCCAUCUACUAGAUCCACCACUCACAAAUUAGAUGAAAUAGAACACUCUGUCGUGACCCUGACCAUUCCCUGUUCUUCCCAUUUGUCCGGAGACUGAAUAAAUUAUGGCAAAACUUUUGUUGCCUUAUGAAUAAUAGAGCGGCAGCCAAUGCACACAUCCUUCUUCUCUCCAUCCACGGAGGGCUCAUCUAACCAUCCCCUGGUGUCUUCACUGCAUGUUUGUUGGGGACUUCCUAGCAUCAGGCACUGUGAUAAGAAAUGGAGGUUAAGCUAUGAAGAAACAUGGCUCCAGCCCUUAGGGAGCUCCCGGUCCUUCAGAAUCUAAACAAUCUCAUGAGUUCAGUUGAACAUAUGAAAUACACUCUUCUUAUCCUCAUGUAAUCAUUUCCCCUGCCAGUCUACACAGCUCGCAAGGGUAAGUCUGUUUUAUGAGUUGGAUAGGUUCCAGGACUGUGAUUUAUCUUAAAGAAAACCCAUCUGCUUAUGUAGCAGCCAAAAUCAGUUACUAAAUCUCCAAGACAUUGAAAAAAAUGGCAUUCUCUUCAAAUCCCUUUAUAUUUUUAGCUAGCAUCCCCUUGCACCCUGACCCUGUUCUGACCUUUUUGUUAGUUGGUUGGUUGGUUGCUUUUGCCUUCAGGACAAAGUGCAGGACAGUUUUGUGUCUGUUCUUGAAUCAAGUGUAUUUGUUUGUUCUCUGUGGAAUUUAGUUCUGAGCGUAUGAAUGAAAUAAAGGUAAACUGAGAGGUCAUAAUCUGUAUCUUUCUCUGAGAAGUUCUCCAAGGCUCUACCUUUGCUUGCUUUGCUGUUUCUUGAUUCCUUGGUUGUGCUUCUGUCUGUGGGUUCCAGCACUGACACCCCAUGUGGGUAGGGUACUGUGAGGGACAGCACAGGUCUGAGAGAGAGAGCCUGGGGAAAGCUGGAGAUGCCCUGUUGUUUUCCUGCACCGGGCCUCUAUACCCCUUGAGGUCAAAGCAUGUCCCAUUAGGUUGAGAAUAAGUCAGAGAUAUUGGACAUAAGUGUCUUCCUAAAAGUUAAAAUGUGCAGUAAACACUACAUUAAAAUUAUCUGUUAACCACUUUAAUAUUAACUUUGAACUCUACAUUAUGGCAGGCUGUUCGGAAAAUUAAAGGUUUCCCAGCACUCUCUUUCUCUCUCUGACAUUGAGUCCACCAGUUCCUGUUCUUGUCCCUUGCAAGGAAUGGGUGGGACUCCACAGGUCCCUGACUGCAUAGUUUUUUCAAAUCCAGUGGGUCUUUCUCUGUUUCCCUUCAGGCUCCCUUGCUUGGAUCACAGAUGUGUGGAAGGCUGCCUAUGAUGCCCUCUGCAUAGAGUGUUGCAGCCACUUGCCCAUUCCUGGCACAAGUCUUCCCCUCCCUGCAGGAAUGGUGCUCAGGACCCCAGUGGCUGCUUUCUUCCUCUUUCUCCCCCACUUCCCUAGGGCGGGAGGUGAGAGGAGUGGUGAAUGUUAGACAGAUGGGCUUUCAUUUUGUAUCCUCCACAUCUGCUCCCUGAGGCAGUGAACACAGGUGCCUACCUGCUUAGAUAGGGGACAGAGGAGCAGGGAGCGAAAGGAUGAACUCUUGUGGAAUCAAAAUUGCACAGCUUUGUAUCUUAAAAUAGUGCCCUGACACACAAACAAAAGCUCUCCUAAAUUACUAGGACUGUUAAAAAAAAAAAAA